rnacentral:rRNA from 1 species
CCUCCUACGGGAGGCAGCAGGGGGGAAUCUUGCGCAAUGGGCGAAACCCUGGCGCAGCGACGCCGCGUGGGGGAUGAAGCUUCUCGGAGUGUAAACCCCUUUCGACCGGGAUGAAUGCCCGCAAGAGGAGUGACGGUACCGGUAUAAGAAGCCCCGGCUAACUACGUCCCAGCAGCCGCGGUAAGACGUAGGGGGCCAGCGUUUUUCGGAAUUACUGGGUGUAAAGGGUUUGUAGGCGGUGUGGCAAGUCGGGAGUGAAAUCUCUGGGCUCAACUCAGGGGCCGCUUCNGAAACUGCUGUUCUAGAGUGUGGGAGAGGCGCGUGGAAUUCCAGGUGUAGCGGUGAAAUGUGUAGAUAUGGGCAGGCACCCCCGUGGAGAAAGCGGCGCGGUGGCCCACUACUGACGNUGAGGAAAGAAAGAUAGGGGAGCAAACAGGAUUAGAUACCGUGGUAGUCCUCGCACCUAAACGGUCAAGACUGGGGGUGCCGCACCGAUAC